AUGACUUUGGUCUCCGUCCUCAUCUGGACUCUCCUCUGCUGCUGCUUCACAGAGUCCAGAGGCCAGGUCACAGUGACUCAGCCUGGAGCAGUGAGCUCUGAUCUGGGAGCCUCCGCCACCAUCACAUGUACCACCAGUAGGAAUGUUUAUGUUUGGAGCAACUACCAUCUUCUAGCCUGGUAUCAACAGAGAGAUGGAGAAACUCCUAAACUUCUCAUUUACUAUGCCACCACUCUAGAAUCAGGGAUUUCCAGUCGUUUUUCAGGCAGUGGAUCAAACUCUCAUUUCACUCUGACCAUCAGUGAUGUUCAGGCUGAAGAUGCAGCAGUUUAUUACUGUCAGAGUUAUCAUGAAAUCAACAGUCAGGAUGUGUUCACACAGUGAAAAACCGUCGUACAAAAACCUCCUUCAGCUGCAGAGGAACUGAUCUGAUCCACAGCUGCACUGAAACUAAAACACUAGAUGGUAACAACACUAUCCAAUCCAUAACUGGGAUAAAUCACAAUAUUUAACGCUUUAAUAUCAUUGUUUUUACACAGUUUUAAAUCAUGAGCUGAGCAUCAAAAAUGCCACAUUAGUGAUUCAAUCCUUUCAUAAUUAUUAAACUUGAUUUCUUUGAUUGUUUUUACUUCUU